CACACCCUUAAAAAGUAAGGCCAAGAUGUGGUGUGUGUUGGUCACAGCGAGUCUCACAAUAUUUUUUCUAGGGGUUUGCACCCUCAUCGCAAGAAGAAAAUGUUGUGGUUGAAGAUAUGUACAGAGGUUCUAUACCCCCAUUUUCCCCACGAACGGGAAGAGAUGUGAGUGAUGAAUUGAAUGAAAAGCUCGUUGACGACAACAAUGACAGUGACAUGGAACACAUUUGCUAUCCUCCUAAAUGUGUUAUAUAGUAUUGUGUCCCUAGACCGGGGGGCAAGUAAUUACAGCCAAUCUUUCUAGCCUUGUCGGUCCUAUCCAUUAAGGUGACCUGCAUCCACAUCACGUUUUACAGCAUAGUCUUCAACUACGGCCACAUUGCACUUACUUGUAAUCCAUAAUAAUUAUUAAUAAAGUAUUUAAAAUAA
rnacentral:lncRNA from 1 species